rnacentral:lncRNA from 1 species
CAUUUCCAAAAGUAGAUGUAAUGACCAACAAUAAUGCUUCGUGUUCAAUAUUGCUGAUGUCGUAAUCUGCCAUGCAGUGAACCUGUAGAAAAUUUAGUGAAACUGGUAUAUUUCAGUCAAUUAUCAGAACCCCGCCAUCCAAGCUUCAUGCAGAGCUAAGGAAGUGAUUUACAAUUAUACUUCAAUGACGAUAGAGAUGAAAUGGAAAAUUGCUUGAAUCUUUCUGGAAAUAUCAUUCAUUCCUGACAAACCUCUGUAAAUUCUACGUUUACUGGAUCUCCUGUGAUUGUACCAUCAGCGUUUUUGUAACCAGCGUAGCUAAUGAGCUGUUGAUUCCAGACUUUAUAAUCAUGCUUGCCGUCGGUUCGUUGUGGAAAGAUGGUGAUUGCUGAUCUACAAUACACAAAAAUCACCGAACCUGCAGUUUUGACCACUGAAUCCGUCCAAUGCAACGAGCCGCAUUUCUCCAGGCCAAUUUUGCUCCAUACACCAACUCUGUUUCUGUGAGUUGGUACGUACUCGCGCCCAACACUUCUCGCCGUAUGCUUUCCCAGCGUGAUCGGUGCGCAUCGCUGUUCAAUCUACACAUUGAAUUGAGCGCAUUGAGACUUAAGAUACAUUACCGUCUAAUCGACGCAAAGUAUUGAUCGAGAAAAUCUUUAGCAUGUACUAGAAUUUCAUCUUUUGAACGUGGCUCUGUGCUGUGAUUAGGCAAAGACAUUAUGCUGCCCAAACAGACUUCACUGGAGCAAUGCGUUUUCUGGAAAAUAAAUUUAGCGAUGUUAUCGAGUUUAAUGUUGAUGCGUAAUAUAGCGGAGUAACAAAUUUUAAGUUUCAAGCAUUAUUGCAUCCGUUUCCUGUAAAUGCUAUAACCAUUGAAGACAUGAGUUUUUCUGGCAACGAUCAUAAUAUUGUUUACUUUCAAAUGUACAGUACACACUAAGUACGUAUACGUAUAAUUCAUUUGAAAAAGCAAUGUUACACUAACAUUGGCAAAUAUUUUUUAUAUCCUUUUUACUGUAUGUAAGUACUGAUAUUGUAUAAUAUGGUUCAGAUAAAACGCAAGGAUACCGUGAA